GACGCAGUAGGAUAGGCGAAGCGUGCUGUUGGAGUGCACGUCCAAGCAGUGAGAUUGAGUGUUAGGCAAAUCCGGCACUCUUAAGAUUGAGCUGUGAUGGGGAGAGGAACUUGUUCCUCGAGUCGUUGAUUUCACACUGCCGAGAAAAGCCUCUAGCUAGAAUAACGGUGCCCGUACCGCAAACCGACACAGGUAGUCAAGAUGAGAAUUCUAAGGUGAGCGAGCGAACUCUCGUUAAGGAACUCGGCAAAAUGACCCCGUAACUUCGGGAGAAGGGGUGCUCUUUGAGGUUCACGCUUCGAAGAGCCGCAGUGAAUAGGCCCAAGCGACUGUUUAUCAAAAACACAGGUCUCUGCUAAACCGUAAGGUGACGUAUAGGGGCUGACGCCUGCCCGGUGCUGGAAGGUUAAGAGGAGUGGUUAGCGCAAGCGAAGCUACGAAUCGAAGCCCCAGUAAACGGCGGCCGUAACUAUAACGGUCCUAAGGUAGCGAAAUUCCUUGUCGGGUAAGUUCCGACCCGCACGAAAGGCGUAACGAUUUGGGCACUGUCUCAACGAGAGACUCGGUGAAAUCAUAGUACCGGUGAAGAUGCCGGUUACCCGCGACAGGACGGAAAGACCCCGUGGAGCUUUACUGUAGCCUGAUAUUGAAAUUCGGUACAGUUUGUACAGGAUAGGUAGGAGCCUUAGAAGCGUGAGCGCUAGCUUACGUGGAGGCAUUGGUGGGAUACUACCCUAAUUGUAUUGGAUUUCUAACCCGCAGCACUUAUCGUGCUGGGAGACAGUGUCAGGCGGGCAGUUUGACUGGGGCGGUCGCCUCCUAAAGAGUAACGGAGGCGCUCAAAGGUUCCCUCAGAAUGGUUGGAAAUCAUUCAUAGAGUGUAAAGGCAUAAGGGAGCUUGACUGCGAGACCUACAAGUCGAGCAGGGUCGAAAGACGGACUUAGUGAUCCGGUGGUUCCGCAUGGAAGGGCCAUCGCUCAACGGAUAAAAGCUACCCCGGGGAUAACAGGCUUAUCUCCCCCAAGAGUUCACAUCGACGGGGAGGUUUGGCACCUCGAUGUCGGCUCAUCGCAUCCUGGGGCUGUAGUCGGUCCCAAGGGUUGGGCUGUUCGCCCAUUAAAGCGGUACGCGAGCUGGGUUCAGAACGUCGUGAGACAGUUCGGUCCCUAUCCGUCGUGGGCGUAGGAAAUUUGAGAGGAGCUGUCCUUAGUACGAGAGGACCGGGAUGGACAUACCUCUGGUGUACCAGUUGUCGUGCCAACGGCAUAGCUGGGUAGCUAUGUAUGGACGGGAUAAGUGCUGAAAGCAUCUAAGCAUGAAGCCCCCCUCGAGAUGAGAUUUCCCAACUUCGGUUAUAAGAUCCCUCAAAGAU
rnacentral:rRNA from 1 species